CUACGGGUUGCUGCAGUCGAGAAUCUUCGGCAAUGGGCGCAAGCCUGACCGAGCGAUGCCGCGUGCGGGAUGAAGGCCUUCGGGUUGUAAACCGCUGUCGAGGGGGAGCAACUUCCAUAGAGUUAUCUUUAUGGAUUGAGCGAUCCCUGGAGGAAGGACGGGCUAAGUUCGUGCCAGCAGCCGCGGUAAGACGAACCGUCCAAACGUUAUUCGGUAUCACUGGGCUUAAAGAGUUCGUAGGCGGCUAAACAGGUGAGGUGUGAAAGCCCUCGGCUCAACCGAGGAACUGCGCUUCAAACCGUUUAGCUAGAGGAAGACAGAGGUGAGCGGAACUGAUGGUGGAGCGGUGAAAUGCGUUGAUAUCAUCAGGAACACCGGUGGCGAAAGCGGCUCACUGGGUCUUUUCUGACGCUGAGGAACGAAAGCUAGGGGAGCGAACGGGAUUAGAUACCCCCGUAGUC
rnacentral:rRNA from 1 species